ensembl:lncRNA
CAGGCUGAACAGCCCCAGCUCUCUCAGCCUGUCCUCAAAGGAGAGGUGUUCCAUCCCUUGGAUAUUUUUGUGGCCCUCCUCUGGACACACUCCAACAGGUCCACAUCUCUCCUGUACUGAGGACCCCACAUCUGGACACAGCAUUCCAAAAUGUUACCAUGCUGUUAAUUUUGAAUGUAUACGUGCGUGUGCUACAUCAGCUGCUGCCAAAAUGGAACUAGGAAUUGCAAAGCAUUCAGCAAAGAUUCCUGAACAGGGGUGGGCUGGUUUCUUGGAUCUCCUCUCUGUUCCUUCACAACAAAUCUCACAGAGGCCAAGACUUGGGUGGCUGUGAGUUCUGGAACAGGAGCAGCGCAAAAGAAACAAAACCAAGGCAGCAGACAUAACAACACCGUCAGUUAUUCACAACAUCCACGAUGGUUGGGGUCACCCCGCCCUUGGCUGCAGCAGACUCCGACUCUGCCUAUUCUCAGGCUCUGUCAAGGAGAUGUACGCAGGCUGUGCAGCUCUGCCAUGGCUCACGCAGUGCACAGAAGGAGCAGGCAGCGUUAGCGAAGGAGAACCCUGGCCUUGGUACGUGGUGUGGGGUUAUGUGUGCCUCAGCACUUCCUGAGCGCUAAAACUGGUAUCUGCUACACAGAAAACCCUGUCCUUGGGAAGAAGGGGAAGAUUCCCUAUGAGGCAUGAUAUUCCUGUGAUUUCAUCUCCAAUAAGAAACCAGUCUGACCAUGACUCAGUUUACAGUAAAGGACACUCUUGCUGCCUUAUUUCAAGGUGAUUGAUGUUGGCACGUUUCUUCAGAUCCCUACUGCUGGGUUGGCAAAAAAAAUGCAGUGUCUUUGUAGUCAUCAAGAACAUUGGCAUUCCCUCUCCUUACAGUGAACAAAUGGCUGCAAAAAAGGUUGAACAAUGUUUUUUUUUCUUUUUCUUUUUGUCUUUAGCAGCUGUUUACAAAUGUCCUACCAGCUGUGCACAAAAGGUAUUUUGUUGAAGGUGGAAAAUGCCUCAAAAUCCACACCUACUGAGCAUUCAAUGCCCAAAGUGAUUGUGCAGCAGACCAGAGGUGCAUCUCCCAUGGAAGACAGUGAUGUGACAGAACAAGAUGUCAAAAAAAAAAAGCCAAAAUAUUGAGGAUGGAGUCACCUUGCUGUAUUUUUCCUCCAUCCGUCUGUUCUACCUCUCCAGCUUGCUGAGAACUGCCCUUUAGCGAGUGUUUGCAUUGCCACAUAGUGUACACACAGUGCUCCCACGAAGGAUGAAAGGUUUCAAGUGCACAGGUGAAGGUGAGUGAGGCGAUGACAGCAGAGUGCCCUGUUAGUGACCUGCUGCUGCUGCUGCACCGUGCAGCGGUGCGGGGACACAUCUCAGAAGGAGCAGCACUGAUUGAGGCAGGGAGUGCUGUUUCUCUGGCACUAACGGAGUUUCCUGCUGCAAGGACAGCACACCAGUUCCUCUGGCAGAAGUGAGCUUACUGAUGGAGAUGAAAGCUUGAGCUUUCAGUCAGGUUCUAGCUGAUCUGGCACACUGACGUCAUUACUUCUGGAAAAGAAACAAAGAUAGAUUUUCCCUGUGCAAUGAGAACAGUUUCCAGUAAAAUUUUCCAUGUUUGUAGGUGCAUACAGGAGAAAAUGCAUUACCAACCUGUCUGUUUGCUGCCUGACAGCUGCUUCUUUUGAGGCCAUGGGGGACGGAGACUCACAGUGAUACUCAGGCCUCCUGCAUGAGGUACUGCUUGGUCUCCAAAUACAACAGGAGUGUCCUGGGACGUGCAUUAGGAGCAUUUUAAUGCUAUCAGAAGUUGCAUACCUUCUUAAUUAAUCACAG